CAAAAAUACAGAAUUAGAGAUGACAAAAUAAUAUCUUUUUUUUUUCCUCUUUACACUAUAAUUCAAUGAACAAUACUCAUUCAUUGGUCCAAAUGCUGCAUUAAUAAAAAAAAAAAAAAAAGUACAAAAUAUGAUGACAACUCUAAAAAUGUAUUUCAAAAACUAAACCAAUUUAACAUUUGCAUAAAUGACAGAACUCAUGGGAUAAUAAAGUUAUUAACUUGCAUUUAGUUUCAUGUUUAAGAACUAUAUCAAGAGGCACUAAUGAGAGCCUAAGUUCAUCUAUAUUUCUUCCUACCCAAAAAAAUGUCCAAUUCAAAAGAAAGGAUGUUUCAUUUUAUAUUUUACAUAAUCAGUGAUACCAACAUGUGACCAAAAAAUUUGAAAAUUUCCAACUGCUCAAGCAAUUCCUGUAAAGUUUAAAAAUGUUUACUAAGCCACUUUUAUCAUGAAAUAAAAUAUGUUUAUCUACAAUUCUCUUUAUUUUGCUGCAUCUUUCAAACAUCAGAGCAUCCAUUAAGGAUUCAAAUACAUGUCAAAACAGAUUUUAAAAAACGUGAGGAAAAAUUUUCUUUGUUUCCUCCUAAAAUGAGUCAACACUACUUUUGAUAUGUACUAGAAUGGUGAACAAUAUUAAUCCAUAAGAUUGUAGGAAAGGUUCUGUGGUUCUUUGAUCAAGUUUGGAUUACGAAAGCAGUUACACUGAGACUAUCAAUUUUUUUUUACCUCUGCUGGUAUUAACUCUUUCUCUCUGCAAUUAUUUGUCCACAUUCAGACGGAAUUCUUCAUUUUGCUCAUUACUAUUUCAAUACCAUGUUAUGAUUAAGCUUCAAUAACUUUUUCUUUGCUAUCAGAAAAUGUUUUAUUUGCUAUAGAAUUAAAGAGGAAGCAUACUCUUUUUAUAUAACACAAAGUAAAGUUUAUGAAAUGAAACAUCAAUUUAAUUUAAUGACGUCAAAUAAAUGAUGGUAUCAUCAAUUAGGAGAGAAAGAGUUAAAUAUCAUUAGGGUUCACUAUCCUUUUCUGCGCUUUAGUUUUAAAGCUUAAAAAUAUUCUAUAAAAGUAAAUCAUUAUUUAUUAUUAUUAUUUAUAAUUUAUUCAAAGCAGGUCCCACAACAUGUUAAAAGAUGUUAAAAGCUAUGGUGAGGGUAAAAGAAGAGGUAACAUAAACCUGUAAUUCAAAAUAUGUUUAUUUAAAAAUUGCAUUUCAGUAAUAGAAAAUAUUUAAAUCUAUUAAAGUUAUUUUUUUUGUUCAUAU